rnacentral:rRNA from 1 species
AUGACCGUGACGCUCGAGGAUGUCUCGUUGAUCACCGGUCUUGCUAUCGACGGGAGGCCUCUAUGUAUGAGCACCAAUUCUGAUGGGUGGCGCGAGCAGAUGAUUGCUCUUAUCGGUAUGGCUCCUACCGAGGCUGAGGAUGAUGUAGAGGAAGGAGAAGAGAAGAAGAAGAGGGAAAGGAAGGCAGCCGGAGCUGCUUUCACGUGGAUUCAAAAUAACUUUGCGACGUGCCCUCCUGAUGCAACUGAUGAUGUGAUCCAGACACAUGCUCGUGUGUAUAUGUGGUACAUUGUGUCGAGGACUUUGUUUCCUGACUCCACUGGCAAGAACGCUCCAUGGAUGUGGCUGAAGGCGUUGACCGUCUUCGAUAGCAAAUGGAGCUGGGGUUCAGCGACUCUUGCCUACUUGUACCGACAGGUAGUUGGUCUGUUUUGUGAUCAACUCAUUUAUUCAUUAGCAAUGCAAGCUUGCUGUCAAGUUAACAUUGUUUUUCUUUCAUAUGUAGCUGGAUGA